rnacentral:rRNA from 1 species
GUAACAAGGCUCCGUAGGGUGAACCUGCGGAGGGAUCAUUACACAAAUAUGAAGGCGGGCUGGAACCUCUCGGGGUUACAGCCUUGCUGAAUUAUUCACCCUUGUCUUUUGCGUACUUCUUGUUUCCUUGGUGGGUUCGCCCACCACUAGGACAAACAUAAACCUUUUGUAAUUGCAAUCAGCGUCAGUAACAAAUUAAUAAUUACAACUUUCAACAACGGAUCUCUUGGUUCUGGCAUCGAUGAAGAACGCAGCGAAAUGCGAUAAGUAGUGUGAAUUGCAGAAUUCAGUGAAUCAUCGAAUCUUUGAACGCACAUUGCGCCCUUUGGUAUUCCAAAGGGCAUGCCUGUUCGAGCGUCAUUUGUACCCUCAAGCUUUGCUUGGUGUUGGGCGUCUUGUCUCUAGCUUUGCUGGAGACUCGCCUUAAAGUAAUUGGCAGCCGGCCUACUGGUUUCGGAGCGCAGCACAAGUCGCACUCUCUAUCAGCAAAGGUCUAGCAUCCAUUAAGCCUUUUUUUCAACUUUUGACCUCGGAUCAGGUAGGGAUACCCGCUGAACUUAUGCAUAUCAAUAAGCGGAGGAAA